UACGUAGGGUGCGAGCGUUAAUCGGAAUUACUGGGCGUAAAGCGUGCGCAGGCGGUUGUGCAAGACAGAUGUGAAAUCCCCGGGCUUAACCUGGGAACUGCACUUGUGACUGCACGGCUAGAGUGUGUCAGAGGGGGGUAGAAUUCCACGUGUAGCAGUGAAAUGCGUAGAUAUGUGGAGGAAUACCGAUGGCGAAGGCAGCCCCCUGGGAUAACACUGACGCUCAUGCACGAAAGCGUGGGGAGCAAACAGG
rnacentral:rRNA from 1 species